rnacentral:rRNA from 1 species
UUGAACGCUGGCGGCAGGCCUAACACAUGCAAGUCGAACGGUAACAGGAAGCAGCUUGCUGUUUCGCUGACGAGUGGCGGACGGGUGAGUAAUGUCUGGGAAACUGCCUGAUGGAGGGGGAUAACUACUGGAAACGGUAGCUAAUACCGCAUAACGUCGCAAGACCAAAGAGGGGGACCUUCGGGCCUCUUGCCAUCGGAUGUGCCCAGAUGGGAUUAGCUAGUAGGUGGGGUAACGGCUCACCUAGGCGACGAUCCCUAGCUGGUCUGAGAGGAUGACCAGCCACACUGGAACUGAGACACGGUCCAGACUCCUACGGGAGGCAGCAGUGGGGAAUAUUGCACAAUGGGCGCAAGCCUGAUGCAGCCAUGCCGCGUGUAUGAAGAAGGCCUUCGGGUUGUAAAGUACUUUCAGCGGGGAGGAAGGGAGUAAAGUUAAUACCUUUACUCAUUGACGUUACCCGCAGAAGAAGCACCGGCUAACUCCGUGCCAGCAGCCGCGGUAAUACGGAGGGUGCAAGCGUUAAUCGGAAUUACUGGGCGUAAAGCGCACGCAGGCGGUUUGUUAAGUCAGAUGUGAAAUCCCCGGGCUCAACCUGGGAACUGCAUCUGAUACUGGCAAGCUUGAGUCUCGUAGAGGGGGGUAGAAUUCCAGGUGUAGCGGUGAAAUGCGUAGAGAUCUGGAGGAAUACCGGUGGCGAAGGCGGCCCCCUGGACGAAGACUGACGCUCAGGUGCGAAAGCGUGGGGAGCAAACAGGAUUAGAUACCCUGGUAGUCCACGCCGUAAACGAUGUCGACUUGGAGGUUGUGCCCUUGAGGCGUGGCUUCCGGAGCUAACGCGUUAAGUCGACCGCCUGGGGAGUACGGCCGCAAGGUUAAAACUCAAAUGAAUUGACGGGGGCCCGCACAAGCGGUGGAGCAUGUGGUUUAAUUCGAUGCAACGCGAAGAACCUUACCUGGUCUUGACAUCCACAGAACUUUCCAGAGAUGGAUUGGUGCCUUCGGGAACUGUGAGACAGGUGCUGCAUGGCUGUCGUCAGCUCGUGUUGUGAAAUGUUGGGUUAAGUCCCGCAACGAGCGCAACCCUUAUCCUUUGUUGCCAGCGGUCCGGCCGGGAACUCAAAGGAGACUGCCAGUGAUAAACUGGAGGAAGGUGGGGAUGACGUCAAAUCAUCAUGCCCUUUAUGUCUUGGGCUACACACGUACUACAAUGGAUGUUACAAAGGGAAGCGAAGUAGUGAUAUGGAGCGAAACCCAAAAAGCAUCCCCAGUUCGGAUUGUAGGCUGAAAUUCGCCUACAUGAAGCCGGAAUUGCUAGUAAUGGCAGGUCAGCAUACUGCCGUGAAUACGUUCCCGGGCCUUGUACACACCGCCCGUCACACCAUGAGAGUUGGGGAUACCCGAAGCCUGUGAGCCAACAGUUAAAUGAGGCAGCAGUCGAAGGUAGAAUCAAUGAUUGGGGUG